rnacentral:rRNA from 1 species
GACGAACGCUGGCGGCGUGCUUAACACAUGCAAGUCGAACGGAAAGGCCCUGCUUUUGUGGGGUGCUCGAGUGGCGAACGGGUGAGUAACACGUGAGUAACCUGCCCUUGACUUUGGGAUAACUUCAGGAAACUGGGGCUAAUACCGGAUAGGAGCUCCUGCUGCAUGGUGGGGGUUGGAAAGUUUCGGCGGUUGGGGAUGGACUCGCGGCUUAUCAGCUUGUUGGUGGGGUAGUGGCUUACCAAGGCUUUGACGGGUAGCCGGCCUGGGAGGGUGACCGGCCACAUUGGGACUGAGAGACGGCCCAGACUCCUACGGGAGGCAGCAGUGGGAAAUAUUGCACAAUGGGCGGAAGCCUGAUGCGGCAACGCCGCGUGCGGGAUGACGGCCUUCGGGUUGUAAACCGCUUUCGCCUGUGACGAAGCGUGAGUGACGGUAAUGGGUAAAGAAGCACCGGCUAACUACGUG